rnacentral:misc_RNA from 1 species
CUCCAAGCAGCAUCUCACCACCUACAGACAGUUCAUCGCAGCUUUGAGGUUUUGCUCCAGGAAAAGAAAUAUCAAACAUCAGUCAGGUCUGGCUCCUAUCGAAGACAAGUUACCAAGGACUGGUUUGGUUGGGAAAAGAGAUGUAACAAUUGUAGCGCCAACAAUUCGCAAGGACUGCUAUUUUCAGUUUUACCAGCUAAUGCUGCUACUUCACCUUUGGCAGCUCCCAAAGUUCUUUUUAGAUCCAUGUGAGGUUAGGUUUACAUUAAAGAAUGGUGCUAUUCAAGCUAAACUAGGUUGCCUUAUCAAUUUCAAUUCUUCUAUAUGCAUAGUCUACAGGUAAUGAACUCACAGAUUGGUUAUGGCAAAGGAAACAAGAUGAAGCCCAAUGGUAGGGGAACAUGCAUUGAUUACAGAAGUUGCAAGACCAACCAACUAGAAUUCAAGCAGACAGAUAGGGAAGCCACAGGGCCACAAACCUUGGUGGGGUCAAUGAUACCA